AGAGUUUGAUUAUGGCUCAGGAUGAACGCUGGCGGCGUGCUUAACACAUGCAAGUCGAACGGAGUUUUUAAACGGAAGUUUUCGGAUGGAAGUUUAGAAACUUAGUGGCGGACGGGUGAGUAACGCGUGGGUAACCUGCCUCAUACAGGGGGAUAACAGUUAGAAAUGACUGCUAACACCGCAUAAUAUAGCGAAACCGCAUGAUUUUUGCUAUCAAAUAUUUAUAGGUAUGAGAUGGGCCCGCGUCUGAUUAGCUAGUUGGUGGGGUAAAAGCCUACCAAGGCGACGAUCAGUAGCCGGCUUGAGAGAGUGACCGGCCACAUUGGGACUGAGACACGGCCCAAACUCCUACGGGAGGCAGCAGUGGGGAAUAUUGGACAAUGGGGGAAACCCUGAUCCAGCGACGCCCGCGUGAGUGAAGAAGUAUUUCGGUAUGUAAAGCUCUAUCAGCAGGGAAGAUAAUGACAGUACCUGACUAAGAAGCCCCGGCUAACUACGUGCCAGCAGCAGC
rnacentral:rRNA from 1 species